AUUAUUAACUGUGAUUUUUGUGAAUUUUACUUUGGUAAUCAAACUUAAGGAAAUGUUGAUGAAGUAAUAUAAGGAGUAUGGAUAAGGUGUUUGAUAAAAAGACAAAGAGAAAAAACGUUGUAUAUCUCACGGUUUCUUUAACUCUGCUUCUUUCACCUAUGGCCUAACAAAAGUCUCCGUCCUUCACGCGUAGACUGCCAACUCCUUUGCUUACAUCCCUCUCAUUUUUUUUAGUUCUUUUCGUAUUUCUAAGUUCGUGCUAAUCAAGAGCAAAGCAAUUUGUCGGUCCAUAAAUUAUUACAAAGUCUACAUCAAGUAUUGGUAAUAAUGCAGAGACCUAUAAUACUUGCUUCAUCUCAAUCAGAGUGCACAGCUGAGGAGGCUCAUACAUGUAGUAAGGUAUAAAUUAUAAUACUUUGUAAAUACUUCUAUUAUUCUUGGUUUUAGAUUACAACGAACAAUGACUCAUUAAAGUUUUUGCACGUCUUAAUUAAGGUUGUGUUUGGAUCGAAGGGAUGAUGUGGAUUUUUAAACUUUGGGUAAUUGUGGGAGGUUUUGAAAAUUUUGAAUUGUGGAGUGAAAAUAUUGAAUCUUUGAUUUCAAGCAAUUUUUUUGAAUAUUUGUUUUUUAAGAUUGUCAUUUGGUUUAUUGAUUAAUGGGUGAAAUUUAAUGUAUAUUCUAAUUAGAUAAAUGGGUUUUAACAGUUGGAUUGAUAUAGUUGGAUUGUUGGUUUACAAGCAUUAUGCUGGGGUUAAGCUCUGUUAACUUUAGAGUUUUGAUUUUUAAAUUGUGGGGUUAAAAAACUCUAAUUUCAAUCCAUUUUAAUGUAAAAUGUAUUAUUUGUUUAUGAAAUAAAAUUGGUUUUAGUUUUUUGGUUUUCAAGUUGUAGGUUGUUUUGGCUACCCAGUUGGGUUAACUACAUUGUUUAGUAGUGAGCCACUUGCUUAAACUUUUUUUAAUUUAUGAGCAAGCUGAUGGUCUUAGUAUGUUGGGUUCUGUAUUUCUAGUGUAUAAGUAUUACUGUUGCUAAAAAUCGUAGUUUAUUCAAGAUGUUUGUCUUCAACGUAUAUGAAUGUUUGAACUCUGCAUUCUAAAGUCAUUCAUCAGGAUUUUAGAGUAAGAGUCAUUCAUUAGGGUAAAUAGACUUGGUGAAUUUUCUUUAGUAGAGGAAUAUAGUUUUAUUAAUGUAGAAGGUUGAUAUAAAAUUGGCUUUCAAAGUUUACUGUUUAUAAAGUAGAAAAGAAUGGAUUACUUGGGUGAAUAAGAUUCUAGAUGACCAGAAUGACUACCGAGAUUAUGUAGAAUGAUCAGAAUGGUUUAACUUUGAAGUUCAAGUCCCUUUAUGUAUUAGUAUUAGUUCUCAGUUUUCAUCCUUGUUUUGCAAAUGAACUUUUUUUAGCUUUGUUCUUUAUAAUCCAACAAUAGAGACCCUAAAGACAAAGAAAAAGAAAUCAUAAUAAACUCUAAAAUCAAAGAAAUAUUGCCAAAAUUAAUUUUGGUUGGUUGGUUGGUUGGUUAAGUGCCUAAGCACACAAUUGUUUUCCAAAAGUGUGAGCAAUAAUGAUGUCUUUCUCGUAAUACUAUCUUGAGAGAAAGGAACUUGACCCUCAUGUCUUCUACAUGAUAAACUAAAAGAUUCUUCCUGCAAGUUGCCUCUGUACGUGUUGUCUUCACCUCUUCGCCAUUCAGGAAAACAUCGUUAUUCUUUUUGAAGGCUUUUAUUAUGAUUGCAUUGUUAGCCCAAGUUUGUGUUGAUUCAUGUGGUUCUACCAAGAACCAUCCACUCUAAUUCCUGGUUUGCUUGUUAGCUCAACCUCUAAGUUGUAAGUACAUUUUAUUCAAGCGGGUAUUUUCCGUGUUCAGGAUUUUUCUUAGAAUGACUUGUUCUUAGUCACUUAUAGAUUAUAUUCUCUUGUAGGUGAACGGCAGAUGAAGUGAACAAGUGCAAACUCGACUUCUGAUGACCUAGUAAUAUAGAUUAUAUUUCCAUUCGUAUUAUUAUUAAUGAAAGUGUAUACAAUAAAAUAUUCAGUUCAAUAGUGUAACUUGAGGGACCACGUGCGUAGCACACGGCCCCACAACUAGUUUAUAUUAAAUAAAUCUACUUUUACAUCA